rnacentral:misc_RNA from 1 species
CGGCGGCGGUGGUGUCGGGGUCGGCGCAGCAGAUCCCGCCGUGCGCGUCGAAGCUGAUCGGCUGCGCGCAGUACCUGAACUCGACGAGCCCGCCGUCUAGCUGCUGCGGGCCCCUGAAGGAGGCGGUGAAGACGGAGGCGCCGUGCCUCUGUGGCUUGUUUAACGACACGUCGCUUCUGAAGACCUUCAACAUCGACCUCAAGCAGGUACUCCAGCUUCCCAAGGCUUGCGGGAUCACAGAGAGUAGGACGACCUUGUGCUCCAAUGUAUCCGCCACGGCUCCUCCCACCUCUCCGACCGGUCCAACUCCAGCAUCAUCCUCACCUCCAGCUACCCCUGCAGGUAGUAAAUCCAACUCUGCAUAUGGAACAGCUUCGAUCGGUUUCCCUGUGUUGACUGGCCUGCUCUUGUUCUUAUGGUCCAUGACGGCAUAGGGUACAAAUUCCACGCUUGUCGAGGUAAAUCUUGUCGGAUUAUCUUGUGGUACUGGGUUGGAUUUCUUGCUUUGCUAUCUUUCUUGUACUUUGUUGAGUUUGUAUCCUCUGCUCCAUUUAAUCCUGUUGUAUUUCACACGUAUGUCUUGUCGAAUUUCCAAGAUUGCCUGCCAAUGUUGUUUGUAAUGAUGACCUUUACGUAAGUGUUUGUCUGUGAAUUGCGGUCAGUUUAUCUCUGUCUAUGCCAAACUAUCAUUGUUGAG